AUGAAAUAUUAUCACAGGAGAUACAUAGUAUUGCUGUUUUAUUAUUUAUUUUAG
rnacentral:tRNA from 1 species